rnacentral:rRNA from 1 species
GGCUCUUUGAGAUUUAUAUAUAAAGAGUCGGGCCUGCCCAGUGAUGUAUUUUUAACGGCCGCGGUACUCUGACCGUGCGAAGGUAGCAUAAUCAUUUGCCCUAUAAUUGAGGGCUAGUAUGAAUGGUUUGACAUGAGCAUAACUGUCUCCUUAAAAUUUUAUAAAAUUUGGUUUUUAGGUGAAGAAACCUAAAUUAAAUUGAAAGACAAGAAGACCCUAUCGAGCUUUAGAAUAAUUGAUUAAAAAUAUAAAUAAAACAAUUAAUUUUAAUUAAAAACUUUGGUUGGGGCGACUGAGGAACAUAUAAAGCUUCCUUAAUUAAACAAUGCUGAUAAGCAAUGAUCCAGGAAAUCUGAUUAAAAAAAUUAGUUACCGUAGGGAUAACAGCAUAAUCUUUUUUGAGAGCUCUUAUCGAAAAAAAGGUUUGUGACCUCGAUGUUGGACUAGGAUAUCCUAAAGAUGUAGAAGUCUUUAAUGGUUGCUCUGUUCGAGCAUAAAAAUCCU